CUGUCGUCAGCUCGUGUCGUGAGAUGUUGGGUUAAGUCCCGCAACGAGCGCAACCCUCAUCCUUAGUUGCCAUCAGGUAAUGCUGAGUACUUUAAGGAAACUGCCAGUGAUAAGCUGGAGGAAGGUGGGGAUGAUGUCAAGUCAUCAUGGCCUUUAUGGAGUGGGCUACACACGUGCUACAAUGGUGUCUACAAUGGGCUGCAAGGUGCGCAAGCCUAAGCUAAUCCCUAAAAGACAUCUCAGUUCGGAUUGUACUCUGCAACUCGAGUACAUGAAGUUGGAAUCGCUAGUAAUCGUGGAUCAGCAUGCCACGGUGAAUACGUUCUCGGGUCUUGUACACACUGCCCGUCACGCCAUGGGAAUUGA
rnacentral:rRNA from 1 species